rnacentral:rRNA from 1 species
GGCUCAGAACGAACGCUGGCGGCAGGCUUAACACAUGCAAGUCGAGCGCCYCGCAAGRGGAGCGGCAGACGGGUGAGUAACGCGUGGGAAUCUACCCAUCUCUACGGAACAACUCCGGGAAACUGGAGCUAAUACCGUAUACGUCCUUCGGGAGAAAGAUUUAUCGGAGAUGGAUGAGCCCGCGUUGGAUUAGCUAGUUGGUGGGGUAAUGGCCUACCAAGGCGACGAUCCAUAGCUGGUCUGAGAGGAUGAUCAGCCACACUGGGACUGAGACACGGCCCAGACUCCUACGGGAGGCAGCAGUGGGGAAUAUUGGACAAUGGGCGCAAGCCUGAUCCAGCCAUGCCGCGUGAGUGAUGAAGGCCCUAGGGUUGUAAAGCUCUUUCAACGG